AGCAGCCGCGGUAAUUCCAGCUCCAAUAGCGUAUAUUAAAGUUGUUGCAGUUAAAAAGCUCGUAGUUGAAUUUCGGGAUCGACGGGUCGGUCGCGCCUCUGGUGUGUACUGGCCCUGUCGGUUUCUCCCUUCUGACGAACCACGAUGUCAUUAAUUUGGUGUCGUGGGAAAUCAGGACUGUUACUUUGAAAAAUUAGAGUGUUUAAAGCAGGCAUUCGCUUGAAUACAUUAGCAUGGAAUAAUGAAAUAGGACGUUUGAUCUUAUUUUGUUGGUUUCUAAGAUCGACGUAAUGAUUAAUAGGGAUAGUUGGGGGCAUUAGUAUUCAAUUGUCAGAGGUGAAAUUCUUGGAUUUAUUGAAGACUAACUACUGCGAAAGCAUUUGCCAAGGAUGUUUUCAUUAAUCAAGAACGAAAGUUAGGGGAUCGAAGACGAUCAGAUACCGUCGUAGUCUUAACCAUAAACUAUGCCGACUAGGGAUCGGAUGAUGUUAAUUUUUAAUGACUCACUCGGCGCCUUACG
rnacentral:rRNA from 1 species